UUUGUGCACCCAACAAAUUACAAUGAGAAGGAAACUCGACGUUUGCUGCAAGGGCUUAUAGCAGGGUUUCUUUGCCAAACGAUUGCAAAAUCAUCAGAGGUUGGUGUGGUCCUUUCCUUGUGGAGCCUCUAUAAUAGUUCUCAGAUAGCUUUUAAUUGUUUUCCUGAUAGGUUUGUUCCAGCAGAUUCUGCAACUGUUGGCUUGACUGAUAGAAUAUUUUGCGCAAUGGGAAGCAAGUUUAUGAGUGCCGAAAAGUCGACAUUUAUGAUUGAUUUGCAUCAAGUAGGGAUAAUCGUAAGGCUAGUUCCUGGGCAUGCACGUCUUAUCUAUGGUGAGUAGAUCACAUAUAUUUUGUGUGCAAUUGUAUGUACUAUAUAUAAAAGUUAUUUUAUAUAUAUAUAUAUAUAUAGAGAGAGAGAGAGAGAGAGAGAGAGAGAGAGAGAGAGAGAGAGAGAGAGAGAGAGGAUAAGUAUAUAUGCUAAUUUUUAAUAAAGAACUUGCUUGGUUCAACUGCGUAAAAGAUGAUAAGUGCCUUACUGAAAUACUGACCAGAAAAUGUCUUAGCACCUGUAUAUACGUAUAUUAAUGUACAAAGUUGGGAAUGCCAACUUGGAUAUUGUUAUUUACUUCCUGCAGGUCUGCAUUGUGAUCUACUUGCUGGUACUUUUCCAGAGCUUAAAACUUGUGUUCGCUAUUUUCAGAAACAGGGGAAAAAGAUCUUUUGGGUUUUCCUUGUGUCACCCACAAACAUCCAUGCCCGCUCAUGCAUAUACACAUGCACAUUCAUGAAAUGAGCGUUUGGGUUCAUAUACAUGUAUUUCCUUCUCGUGAAAAAAUCGUUACGCACUCUUGGUGGCUGCUAUAAUUUUCCAGUAGAACUAAUUAAUUGUACAGGUUGAAUAGGUGUCCCAAGGAAGUUAUUCAGAGAGCAUCAUUUAUAUUGGACGCUUUUGGAAACAAUAAACCUGUUGCGCGAUAGUGCAAUGAAAAUGUAUCAGCUAUGGAUCAACAAUACCAGGUUUUAAUCCCAAAACAGAAUCUGUGAUUCAGAAAUGUAAAUAUGACAUAUUAUAUAGAGUAACACUUCCCCUGCAAAACCAAAACCAUGAGAUUGAAUGUAGCAAUUCUAUAGUACGCCGGAAUAACAUUUUUCAAUCAUAUAUUUCUGUUUAA